AUACAGAGGGUGCGAGCGUUAAUCGGAAUUACUGGGCGUAAAGCGCGCGUAGGCGGCUACUUAAGUCAGAUGUGAAAUCCCCGGGCUCAACCUGGGAACUGCAUCUGAUACUGGGUAGCUAGAGUUUGGGAGAGGGAAGUAGAAUUUCAGGUGCAGCGGUGAAAUGCAUAGAGAUCUGAAGGAAUACCAGUGGCGAAGGCGACUUCCUGGCCAAAAACUGACGCUGAGGUGCGAAAGCGUGGGUAGCAAACGGGAUUAGAAACCCUAGUAGUCC
rnacentral:rRNA from 1 species